rnacentral:lncRNA from 1 species
UAGCAGAACAACAAGAAAGCUAGCUACUCAAGUACUCCUAAUGGCGCUUAUCAAGAAUAGCGGGCAGGCUAUGUGCCUGCUGGCUCUUGUUGUCAUGACUACCACUUCCCUGCCCUCUCUUGUAGAAGGAAGGAUCAUGGGUACAUUUCUUUCUGUCUUCUUUUCUCUUAAUAUUUUCAUACACAUUUGCAUGUUAGCAACCGGGAAGUUACUGUUGUGAUCACAUGCAUGCAGAUACAAAGGGCACGAUGGUCGGCAAGCCGCCGUGUUUUGUUAUGGAACGUUGCACACUCGAUCUAUGCGAGAAACAAUGUUUAGCACAUGGAUAUCAUAAGGGUCAAAGCGACUGCAUAUCUUUCACAAAAAACCAAUGUUGCUGCAACCGGAUAUGAUAAGGGUAAAAAACGAAUGUCAAAUAAGACUAUUCGACGUGAUUGAUGAAGAAGAUUCAAUAAAAUUUAAACUUUAUCUAGUAACUAUUGGUUGAUGCAUAACUGCCAAGUGUGAGCAAGUGAAUCGUUGUCUGUCGAGUGGAAUCACUCAUUUAUCUUUGCACAUGGUCUCAUUCUUCGAUAAAGAGCUCUUUUAGUAACUUAAAACUUAGUAUCAAAUAGAUACAAAGCAUAGCGAGUAAUGCCUGACCUCUGCAUAGCUAGGAUACACACAAUCAACACAGACAGUCUGACAAAAAGAACUAACAUGUUGGCAUGAGUAAAUUCGUAUAAGACCGACAUUACGCCCAUAUCGAAGGAGGUGGUGGACCAAUCCNNNNNNNNNNNNNNNNNNNNNNNNNNNNNNNNNNNNNNNNNNNNNNNNNNNNNNNNNNNNNNNNNNNNNNNNNNNNNNNNNNNNNNNNNNNNNNNNNNNNNNNNNNNNNNNNNNNNNNNNNNNNNNNNNNNNNNNNNNNNNNNNNNNNNNNNNNNNNNNNNNNNNNNNNNNNNNNNNNNNNNNNNNNNNNNNNNNNNNNNNNNNNNNNNNNNNNNNNNNNNNNNNNNNNNNNNNNNNNNNNNNNNNNNNNNNNNNNNNNNNNNNNNNNNNNNNNNNNNNNNNCCUUUGUCCUUCCUAUAAGAAAUUCUUCAAAACAAGUACUACUGUACGUGCGAUUCAAUCACCCCUUAGUUUUUUUCGAAAUCUUUAUGAGAUUGCUCAUAAUUCUAAUAAGAGCUGCAUCAACAAUGAUUAGUGGGAAAUAUCCAAAGCAACUCAAGGACUUUGGGGCUUAGACGACAAGCAUAGAAUGAAUAAAUUAGCUAGGGAGUAGUACCAGAUAAGUAGGAUUUUUUUAAAGAAAACCCGGAUGGUCUUGGAGAACGGACUACAGAACAUAGUUUAGCCCGUGAGUUAUAAACAACCGAGUAUCCUUUAGAGGAGUAUAUUUACUCCUCUAAAAAUGUGUGGUUUUUAACCAAACCCCUAAACUUAACUCCCUAUAUUUGGCUCAUACAUUUCAUCGAACAUUUGCUAUGCGUCUCUGCGGUGAUCGGCAGCCAUGGUGACCACGUCGAGACGAGCAACACCGGCGAGGAAGACGCGUCAUCGGCGACCCCGGAACGCGCGGCCAUGUGCCUCUUCUUCCCCGAUGUUAGCUUCUUCCGCCUAGGAGGCAACAAUGCAUAGGUCACCUCCUCUACCUCACCUUCGUCUGUUGCAUCUCAAGCUCCGGCUACCGAAGCCUGCACCUUGAUCUUGUUGUUGUUCCACUUCCCCAGCCCUCACCUAGCUCACCAUCGAGAUCUCCGAGGUGAGCCAUGUCUCUUCCCACCACUUUUUCUUUGUUUCAUUUCAUUUGUGCGCCGUCUAGCUCUAAUUCACACGUGGCUGCCAUAGCUCGAGCUUUGAAGCUCGAUAGACGGGCGUCCCGCUUGAAAGACCUUGGAAUAACUGAUGUUAUCUUGAACAUCAAGAUUUUUUGAGGUGAUAAUGGUGGGAUAACACUAUUGCAAUCUCACUAUGUGGAGAAGGUUCCGAGUCGCUUUGGAUAUUUAGAUUGUAAACCUUCUCCAACACCUUACAAUCCGAAUGUGUUGAUUUAAAAGAACUAAGGAUAAACAAAGUAUAUAUUGACAUAUUGUUGAAGCAUUGGCUCGAUCAUGUACUCAGCUAGAUACCUGACAUCUCAUUUGCAAUGAGCAAACCAAGUCAGUUUGUUUCAAAUUUGGGAGAUGUUCAUGGACAUGCUCUUGAAAGGAUAAUGCACUAUAUGAAAGGUACUUCGAGUUAUGGGCUUCACUAUAAUGGGUACCCAAGGGUACAAGAGGGAUAUAGUGAUGCAAAUUGGAUAUCUGAUGUUGAUGAGCUUAAAGCUACAAGUGGUUAUGUGCCACUUAGUGGUGGUGCUAUUUCCUAGAAGUCUAGCCAACAGACCAUCUUAACAACAUCAAUAAUGGAAGCAAAACUCAUAGCAUUAGACACAACAACUGUUGAAGCAGAGUGGCUUCGAGAACUCUUGAUGGACUUGCUGGUGAUUCAAAAACCAAAAUCAACUAUCCUAAUGAACUAUGAUAAUCAAACGGUGAUAGCCAAGGUAAAUGGUUAUAAGGACAAUAAUAAGUCAUCAAGACAUGUGGGAAGGAGAACGGAAUAUGUUAGAUUUAUAAAAAAAACUUUAAAUUUAUGGUUAUAAAGUUAUAAACACAUCAAAUAAUUUGGCAGAUCCCCUCACAAAGGGUUUAUCAUGGAAUAUUGUAUGCAUAGAGGGAGAUGGGAUAGAGACCCACUACAUAAUUUGUUCAUGGUGGUAACCCAUUCUAUGUGAUCGGAGAUCUCGUGAAUUAGAAUUGACAAGACAAGCUAUUGGGUAAACGAGAGGAGAGUACUUACUUUUAUCCACUCCGUUACGAUGCAAAUCUCUCCUAAUCUGUAUGACAGAUUAAUAUUUACCUUAACAUGUUCUGAAUGGCUUGCCUAGGCAAAGAUGUUGUCGCGCGGAACAUCUUGAAAGAACAUACCUAUAUGAGUUAAACUGUUAAACAUUGCAGUCUAUGAGAGUUGGAUGCUCUCUAAUAAACUCAUGAAGAGCCCCCCGGAGUAUGAUGUAUAUGCUCCUACAUGCUGAAAAGCUUUUCAACGGUCUAGUAUCGGUCAAGGCUUUGCGUGAAACAUGUUUAAAUAAAACUUGCAGUUCAAGGGUAGCCCACUGUUCAGGUUGUGAAUGAGCGUAGCAUUGAGUUCUAGGUGGAAUUUCAACUUAACAAUCAUCAUCGAAAUACCGAUAUAUAAACAUGUUGUGAAACCACAGACAAACUUUAUGUGCCUAUGGGAUCUGGUGGGAGAUUGUUGAAAUUAUUGGUCCCAACCCAUUUAAUAAUUCAAAAUUUUAUCAAAUAAUUUCUAGGAAAUCCCAAAGGCCAUGUGGUCCAUUCAUGACAGAGGGGUGUGGAAAGUUUAGUUUCACCAUGCUAGUGGAGGAUGUGGUAGACCAACUUAUAAGGUAAGUUGUUCCACAUAACAAUAAGAGCUUGAGAAGAGGACACACGCGCGCGUGCUCCUCCUUCUCUGUCCGCCUGCCACAUACCAUGUCAUGCCUUGCAUGUGCAUCAUGUUUUGUGAUCGAGCCAAGCCAUGCUAGGACCUAUGCCACGUGUGUGUGCUACCUUGUUUUUGCCACGCAAGAAAAAAAUUUGAAACUUUUUUUCUUCUAGUGGGAGAUGAAUCCGAACAGUCUCGGUGUAUUGUUUCUCUUCCUCUCUCUAGUGGGCAUCCAUUUAUCUUCCACUACCGAGGGGUCAGUUGCAACUCGCCUCGUCUAUAAGAGGUCACUCCUCUUUCCAGACGAGACACACUUCCAUUUAUUCAUUUCAGAGCAUCGCGCUGCCUGCUACGUCUUGAUCUUGCAUUGGUUUUCCCCGAAGAGGAAGGGAUGAUGCAGCAGAGUAGCGUAAGUAUUUCCCUCAGUUUUUGAGAACCAAGGUAUCAAUCCAGUAGGAGCCCACGCUCAAGUCCCUCGUACCUGCACAAAACGAUAGCUACUCGCAACCAAUGCGAUUAGGGGUUGUCAAGCCCUUCACGGUCACUUACGAGAGUGAGAUCUGAUAGAUAGAAUAUUUUUGAUAUUUUUGAUAUAAAGAUGCAAAGUAAAAAGUAAAAGCAAAGUAAAUAGCAAAACAAUAUAAAAGUAAUGGAGAUUGAUAUGAUGAGAAUAGACCCGAGGGCCAUAGGUUUCACUAGUGGCUUCUCUCAAGAGCAUAAGUAUUCUACGGUGGGUGAACAAAUUACUGUUGAGAAAUUGAUAGAAUUAUGCAUAAUUAUGAGAAUAUCUAGGCAUGAUCAUGUAUAUAGGCAUCACGUCCGUGACAAGUACAUCGAAACGAUUCUGCAUCUAAUACUAUUACUCCACUCAUCGACCGCUAUCCAGCAUGCAUCUAGAGUAUUAAGUUAAAAAUAGAGUAACGCCUUAAGCAAGAUGACAUGAUGUAGAGAGAUAAAUUCAUGCAAUAUGAAAUAAACCCCAUCUUGUUAUCCUCGAUGGCAAGAUACAAUACGUGCCUUGCUGCCCCUUCUGUCACUGGGUAAGGACACCGCAAGAUCAAACCCAAAGCUAAGCACUUCUCCCAUGGCAAGAACUAUCAAUCUAGUUGGCCAAACCAAACGGAUAAUUCGAAGAGACUUGCAAAGAUAACCAACCAUGCAUAAAAGAAUUCAGAGAAGAUUCAAAUAUUAUUCAUAGAUAGACUUGAUCAUAAACUCACAAUUCAUCGGCCUCAACAAACACACCGCAAAAAGAAGAUUACAUCGAAUAGAUCUCCACAAGAGAGGGGGAGAACUUUGUAUUGAGAUUCAAAGAGAGAGAAGAAGCCAUCUAGCUACUAACUAUGGACCCGAAGGUCUGAGGUAAACUACUCACACUUCAUCGGAGGGGCUAUGAUGAUGUAGAAGCCCUCCGUGAUGAUGGCCCUCUUUCGGGGGAGCUCCGGAACAGGCCCCAAGAUGGGAUCUCGUGGAUACAGAAAGUUGCAGCGGUGGAAUUAGGUUUUUGGCUCCUGUUCUGAUCGUUUGGGGGUACGUGUGUAUAUAUAGGAGGAAGGAGUACAUCGGUGGAGCACCGAGGGGCCCACGAGGCAGGGGGCGCGCCCUAGGGGGGGGGGCGCCCCCCAUCCUCGUGACCACCUCUUUGAUCCCUUGAAGUAGGGUCCAAGUCUCCUGGAUCACGUGCGGUGAGAAAAUCACGUUUCUGAAGAUUUUAUUCCGUUUGGACUCCGUUUGAUAUUCCGUUUAUCCGAAACACUGAAAUAGGCAAAAAACAACAAUUCUGGGCUGGGCCUCCGGUUAAUAGGUUAGUCCCAAAAAUAAUAUAAAAGUGGAAAAUAAAGCCCAAUAUAGUCCAAAACAGUAGAUAAUAUAGCAUGGAGCAAUCAAAAAUUAUAGAUACGUUGGAGACGUAUCAGGCAUCCCCAAGCUUAAUUCCUGCUCGUCCUUGAGUAGGUAAAUGAUAAAACGAGAAUUUUUUAUGCGGAGUGCUACUUGGCAUAAUUUCAAUGCAAAUCUUCUUAAUUUUGGUAUGAAUAUUCAGAUUAGAAAGAUUCAAGACAAAAGUUUAUAUUGACAUAGAAAAUAAUAAUACUUCAAGCAUACUAACAAAGCAAUUAUGUCUUCUCAAAAUAACAUGGCCAAAGAAAGUUAUCCCUACAAAAUCAUAUAGUCUGGCUAUGCUCCAUCUUCCCCACACAAAGUAUUUAAAUCAUGCACAACCCCGGUGACAAGCCAAACAAUUGUUCCAUACUCUAACUUUUUCAAAACUUUUUCAAUCUUCACGCAAUACAUGAGCGUGAGCCAUGGAUAUAGCACUAUAGGUGGAAUAGAAUGGUGGUUGUGGAGAAGACAAAAAGGAGAAGAUAGUCUCACAUCAACUAGGCGUAUCAACGGGCUAUGGAGAUGCCCAUUGAUAGAUAUCAAUGUGAGUGAGUAGGGAUUGCCAUGCAACGGAUGCACUAGAGCUAUAAAUGUAUGAAAGCUCAACAAAAGAAACUAGUGGGUGUGCAUCCAACUUGCUUGCUCACGAAGACCUAGGGCAAUUUGAGGAAGCCCAUCAUUGGAAUAUACAAGCAAGUUCUAUAACGUAAAAUUCCCACUAGUAUAUGAAAGUGACAAUAUAUGAGACUCUCUAUAUGAAGAACAUGGUGCUACUUUGAAGCACAAUAUAUGAGACUUGCUGUAUCAUGGUGCUACUUUGAAGCACAAGUGUGGAAAAAAGGAUAGUAGCAUUGCCCCUUUUUUAUUUAUUUAUAUUUUUUUGGGCCUUCUUUUUUUCUUUGGCCUUUCUUUUUUUUGGGACAAUGAUCUAUUGAAUGAUGAUCAUCACACUUCUAUUUAUUUACAACUCAAUGAUUACAACUCGAUACUAAAACAAAGUAUGACUCUAUAUGAAUGCCUCCGGCGGUGUACCGGGAUAUGCAAUGAAUAAAGAGUGACAAGUAUGAAAGAAUUAUGAACGGUGGCUUUGCCACAAAUACUAUGUAAACUACAUGAUCAUGCUCAGCAAUAUGACAAUGAUGGAUGUGUCAUGAUGAACUAGAUGGUGGAAAGUUGCAUGGCAAUAUAUCUCGGAAUGGCUAUGGAAAUGCCAUAAUAGGUAGGUAUGGUGGCUAUUUUGAGGAAGGUAUAUGGUAGGUGUAUGAUACCGGCGAAAGGUGCGCGGUAUUAGAGAGGCUAGCAAGGGUGGAAGGGUGAGAGUGCGUAUAAUCCAUGGACUCAACAUUAGUCAUAAAGAACUCAUAUACUUAUUGCAAAAAAUUAGAAGUUAUCAAAGCAAAGUAUUACCCGCAUGCUCCUAGGGGGAUAGAUUGGUAGGAAAAGACCAUCGCUUGUCCCCGACCGCCACUCAUAAGGAAGACAAUCAAUAAAUAAAUCAUGCUCCGACUUCAUCACAUAACGGUUCACCAUACAUGCAUGCUACGGGAAUCACAAACUUCAACACAAGUAUUCUUUAAAUUCACAACUACUCAACUAGCAUGACUUUAAUAUUAUCACCUCCAUAUCUCAAGACAAUUAUCAUGCUUGAAUCUUUUCUUAGUAUUCAACACACUCAAAAGAAAGUUUCACAAAUCUUGAAUACCAAGCAUAUUAUUAUUAGGCAAAUUACCAUGCAAUUAAGAGACUCUCAAUUUAAUUUAAGUGAAGCAUGCGAGAUCAAUAGUUUCUUUAAAACGAAUCCACCACCGUGCUCUAAAAGAUCUAAGUGAAGCACAUAGAGCAAAAUUAUCUAGCUCAAAGGAUAUAAGUGAAGCAUAUAGAGCAAAAUUAUCUAGCUCAAAAGAUAUAAGUGAAGCACAUAGAGCAAAAUUAUCUAGCUCAAAAGAUAUAAGUGAAGCAGAUAGAGUAUUCUAUCAAAUUUUAAUUCAUGUAUGUCUCUCUCAAAAGGUGUGUACAGCAAGGAUGAUUGUGGCAUACUAACAAAUAAAGACACAAAUAAUACAAGACGCUCCAAGCAAAACACAUAUCAUGUUGGUGAAUAAAAAUAUAGCUCCAAGUAAAUUACCGAUGGAAGUGGACAAAAAGAGGGGAUGCCUUCCGGGGCAUCCCCAAGAUUUGACUUUUUGGUGUCCUUGGAUUAUCUUGGGGGUGCCAUGGGCAUCCCCAUGCUUAGGCUCUUGCCAUUCCUUGUUCCAUGAUCCAUCAAAAGAAUUCACCCAACACUUGAAAACUUCACAACACAAAACUCAAAAUAGAAAACUCGUGAGCUCCGUUAGCGAAAGAAAACAAAAGACCACUUCAAGGUACUGUAAUGAAAUCAUUCUUUAUUUGUAUUGGUGUGAAACCUACUGUAUUCCAACUUCUCUAUGGAUUAUAAACUAUUUUACUAGGCAUAGAUUCAUCAAAAUAAGCAAACAAAACACGAAAAACAGAAUCUGUCAAAAACAGAACAGUCUGUAGUAAUCUGUAGCUAGCGCAAAAUCUGGAACCCAAAAAUUCUAAAAUAAAUUUCUGGACGUGAGGAAUUUAUCUAUUAAUCAUCUGCAAAAAUAAUUAACUAAACAUGAGCGCUAAACAUCACUCUUCAAAUAAAAAUGACAGCAGUUCUCGUGAGCGCUAAAGUUUCUGUUUUUUACAGCAAGUUCAACAAGACUUUCCCCAAGUCUUCCCAACGGUUCUACUUGGCACAAACACUAAUUAAACACAAAAAAACACAACCAAAACAGAGGAUAAAUAAUUUAUUUAUUACUAAACAUGAGCAAAAAGCAAGGAAUAAAAAUAAAAUUGGGUUGCCUCCCAACAAACGCUAUCGUUUAACGCCCCUAGCUAGGCAUAACGAGCAAGAAUAGAUCUAGGUAUUGCCAUCUUUGGUAGGCAAUCCAUAAGUGGCUUUCAUGAUAGUUUCAUAUGGUAAUUUUAUUUUAUUUCUUGGAAAGUGUUCCAUGCCCUUUUUUAAUGGAAAUUGAAAUUUAAUAUUCCCUUCCUUCAUAUCAAUAAUCGCACCAAACGUUCUAAGGAAAGGUCUACCAAGAAUAAUAGGGCAAGAAGGAUUGCAAUCUAUAUCAAGAACAAUGAAAUCCACGGGCACAUAAUUCCUAUUUGCAACAAUAAGAACAUCAUUAAUUCUUUCCAUAGGUUUCUUAAUAGUGGAAUCCGCAAGAUGCAAGUUUAGAGAACAAUCAUCAAAAUUACGGAAAUCUAGUAAAUCACACAAAGUCUUGGGAAUAGUAGAGACACUAGCACCCAAAUCACACAAAGCAUAAAACUCAUGAUCUUUAAUUUUAAUUUUAAUAGUUGGUUCCUGUCGGUGUCAAAACCGGCGGAUCUCGGGUAGGGGGUCCCGAACUGUGCGUCUAAGGCGGAUGGUAACGGGAGGCAGGGGACACGAUGUUUUACCCAGGUUCGUGCCCUCUUGAUGGAGGUAAAACCCUACGUCCUGCUUGAUUUAUUCUUGAUGAUAUGAGUAUUACAAGAGUUGAUCUACCACGAGAUCGGAGAGGCUAAACCCUAGAAGCUAUCCUAUGGUAUGAUUGUAUGUAUAUGAUCUAUCGACUAGCCUGGCCUCGGUUUAUAUAAUGCACCAGAGGCCUAGGAUAACAAGAGUCCUAGCCGAAUACGCCGCUGGGGAGGAGUCCUUGUCUUGAUCACCAAGUCUUGUGGAAUCUUCUAUGUAUGCGGCAGCUGUCCGAACUGGCCCAUGAGUAUACGGCCAUGGGGGUCCUCGGCCCAAUCUAACAGAUCGGGAGAUGACGUGGUGAGUACCCCCUAGUCCAGGACACCGUCAGUAGCCCCCUGAACCGGUCUUCAAGUUAGGGACGCUCCUCGAUUCUUCCGAACUGUUCUUCAUCUUCGGUCGUCGGUCUUGAAAACUGGUUCAACAAAUCUUCUCAUCUUCGAUCUUGAGGAUCGCCGAAAUGCAUUCGCCGAGUUUACACGUCGGGUAUCCGAGGAGCCCCUUUAAGUUUCCGGCCUUUAUCAAUGCCUUCUAAUUUUUAUGCCACACCUCGGGUUUGAAGUUGUUCCCGGGAGGUAGUGUCCUCUUGGGUCCGAGCUCUAACGCCGGACUGCAUUCGAGGUAUCUUUUGCAGCCGAGCACCAAUGUUGGACCGCUUCCGAGCUCCAACGCCGGAAUGUAUCCGAGCUCCAACGCAGGACUAUGUCCAAGCUCCAACGCCGGACUGUAUCCGAGCUCCAACGUCAGACUAUGUCCAAGCUCCAACGCCGGACUGUAUCCGAGCUCCUACGCCGGACUAUAUCCGAGGUGUCAUAAAUCACCUUGGUUCAAAAAAGUUGAAGGAUUUUAGCCGAGCUUAAUGCCGGAAAUGCCCUCUAUGGAGCCAGCCACUAGCGCCCGAGCUUUAUGCCGGACUGCUUCCAAGGUGGUGCACCACCCCGACUGUGGGCCGAUUUUUGUCAAUAUUUUUUAUUGGUGCAAUUUAUUCUCUACCGAGAUAUAUAGCUAGUAGCCCUCAAGGUGUGUAUCGGUCUAAAACCCGAGAUGCACCUGAAGGAUGACAUAAGACCGCUGAUUCCAGUAGCCGCUAAGACUCAGGUUGAUUUGCAAAAUCGGUCUGAGGAUUAACUCCUAGCUCGGCAGAAUACUUCGGGACACAAAAAACGGCGUGCUCAGUCCUCGAGACUUAGGUUGGGUCCGGCCGACCAACCUGAGGAUCAAAAUCUCCUCGGAAACAGUAUUGCACUUAAAAUUUUCUGCGUUGAACAAGCAAUGGAGUAGCCCCCGAGACACUGGUCGGGUGGCAACACCAGAUCAGGGGAUCGAUGUGCCCCUUUAAUAUUUGUAAAUAAUAAGCCCGAAGCCUAGUAGCCCCCGAGCCUUAAUGCGGGCACGGGUGGCCGAAUUAAGGAUCGAUAUCCAUAGUAAAAUCACAAAUUAUGUGUUAUGACUCUAUGUAUCCAAGUAUUUACGUCAUUAAUGCUCGGAUCCGCAUUGUACAAAACUUUAUUGACCGACCAUCGGCUUCCUCCUCCUCGGCUAGUAGCCGAGGAGUGUUUGUCCUACUUUAUAAAGCCUUUAUGAGGGCAAAGAUUUACGACAAACAAGGCAAUCUGGCCAUACGGUUUUAUAAACAAAGGUACAUAGAGAGAUAUGUUAUAUUAUUGUUUAACAGAGAGAUAUGUUACACAAAUGUCUUCCGAAGAAAAUAGUCCCGCUAUCGGUUCCUUUCUUCGGGUUGUCAUGCGAAGCAUGAUCAUGAAACCUCAGCUCUAAUGUAAGAGCAAAAUAUUGAGGAUUUAGUUUGGGAGGCCAGUUACUACUCCCCGGUAGUGUUCGGCGACAGUCGAGGUCAAGCCGUAAACACUUCGGCCAAUGUUAUGAAUGACCCGUCAUUUAACACAGUCAUCGGAUCGCUGACCAGUUUACGCUUAUUGUGACAGUCAGUUUUCAGCUUUCUCCACUGAGGUGCUUAACCAUGUGAGGUGGAAGCACAAUCGCAGUGGUUCUCCCUUUGCACACCUAGCCGAACAAAGCGGAACGUAGGAGGCAAGCACAGGAGCCGGGCAACCCAACUAUUGACCGAAGACACAAUUCAAAACCGAUGCAUAUAUAGCAAUAUCCGAGAAUGUUUUUGCCGAAUCUCUAAAGGUGUCCGGCAUUGCACUAUGAGACUUGUGCUGGAAACACACAAAUAGUUUAGAAGUGCCGUAGGCUCGAAAAGCCAAAAAACUUAUUCAAAAGUUUAAUGUCCGAACUAGAUCAAGUGUUCGGUGCCAAUCCGAAAAUUGGACUUGAAAAAAAAGUGCUUCUGCCGUGCUUUAACAUGACACAUCCUAUCUCAAGACUUCAAGCGGGCCAGCCUACGGCUUCAACCUCCUAUCCCGGAGGCGGAGUACUUCUCAUUAGGCCAGUUUAGCAAACUAAACUCUAGCGGCUUUGAGAGAGAAAUUAUGCUCCCCGGCUAGUGACCACACACUCGUGUCGAAAAAAGGAGUGAUGAAAAAAACACUUUGCAACGACCAAGAAGAAAACACAUUUACUAUAAAAUAGCUCAUAUAAAUUUUAAGAGCCCCCAAGUGACUUGGGUAAAAGAAUUUUAUGUAUAAUGAUUGUAUGUACCGAAGUACUUAUAGCAUAUCUUUGUUCAACCGAACUUUAAACGCGUCUUAACCGACCGUCGGCUUCUCCCUCUUCGGUCAAGGACCGAAAAGUGUUAUGUACUCCACCUGUCGAGAAUAUCGACAUUGUUUCCGAUAACCAGGCAACCGGGCCAUAAGGCUGUAACGGACAAAGCGCGCACAUGGAACUUAUGCUAUAUUACAGACGAAGUGUAAGAAGCAUCUUCGAAGAAAAUAGUACCCCCACCGAUACCUUUCUUCGGUGCUCAUUAUUGCUAUGAGACUUGUGCAAUAGAUUUUUUGUACUCAUGAGUUCCGUUGUGUGCCGACCAUGAUUGAAAACAAUAAGAGCGCAAGCUUUCAGCUUCACCCAGUCUGAGGUCAGAGCUCGGAGGACCCGGUCGUGAGAAUCGCAGAGGUGCUCCCUUUACUCCCUAGCCGAACAAUCGGGAACGUAGGGGCAAGCACAGGAGCCAGGCAACCCAGCUUGCAAAUCGCUUAAGUCAAUAUGGUGCAUAUUGUGGCGUAAUACACGAACAAGGAAUGAAGCCUUACAAGUAUAAUCAUAUGCAAGAAGAAAAGCUUCAUAAAGGAAGCCCCCAAAUAAAUGGGGUAUCUGAAUAUGUGUGUCACAAACAAAGUUUGGACAAGGAACUUUUUGAAGGAAAUAUGCCCUAGAGGCAAUAAUAAAGUUAUUAUUUAUUUCCUUAUUUCAUGAUAAAUGUUUAUUAUUCAUGCUAGAAUUGUAUUAACCAGAAACAUAAUACAUGUGUGAAUACAUAGACAAACAGAGUGUCACUAGUAUGCCUCUACUUGACUAGCUCGUUGAUCAAAGAUGGUUAAGUUUCCUAACCAUAGACAUGAGUUGUCAUUUGAUUAAGGGGAUCACAUCAUUAGGAGAAUGAUGUGAUUGACUUGACCCAUUCCGUUAGCUUAGCACUUGAUCGUUUAGUUUGUUGCUAUUGCUUUCUUCAUGACUUAUACAUGUUCCUAUGACUAUGAGAUUAUGCAACUCCCGUUUACCGGAGGAACACUUUGUGUGCCACCAAACGUCACAACGUAACUGGGUGAUUAUAAAGGUGCUCUACAGGUGUCUCUGAAGGUACUUGUUGGGUUGGCGUAUUUCGAGAUUAGGAUUUGUCACUCUGAUUGUCGGAGAGGUAUCUCUGGGCCCACUCGGUAAUGCACAUCACUAUAAGCCUUGCAAGCAUUGCAACUAAUGAGUUAGUUGCGGGAUGAUGUAUUACGGAACGAGUAAAGAGACUUGCCGGUAACGAGAUUGAACUAGGUAUUGAGAUACCGACGAUCGAAUCUCGGGCAAGUAACAUACCGAUGAACAAAGGGAACAAUGUAUGUUGUUAUGCGGUCUGACCGAUAAAGAUCUUCGUAAAAUAUGUAGGAGCCAAUAUGGGCAUCCAGGUCCCGCUAUUGGUUAUUGACCAGAGAGGUGUCUCGGUCAUGUCUACAUAGUUCUCGAACCCGUAGGGUCCGCACGCUUAACGUUCGUUGACGAUAUAGUACUAUAUGAGUUAUGUAUGUUGAUGACCAAAUGUUGUUCGGAGUCCGGGAUGAGAUCAUGGACAUGACGAGGAACUCCGGAAUGGUCCGGAGAUAAAGUUUGAUAUAUGGGAUAGUAGUGUUUGAUCUCCGGAAGGGUUUCGGAGUUCACCGGAAGGGGUUCCGGAUGUUUCCCGAAAUGUUUGGGCACGAGAACACUUUAUCUAG